CCUUACGUAAUCUCUUAUAGGGUGGAGAAAGGUGACGGCACUAGGUUUUUCCCCAUCUUUCUUUUUUCUUUCCCUUUUCUUCUUUUUUCCUCCUUUCCCUUUCUGUAUUGGUGGCUUAGGGCUUGUUUGCAUAAAAUAAAAAUAGGCUUCAUAUAGUGUUACUUACUGCUCUAUUAAGUCUAAAUUACAAUCUAGUCCAUUAUUUUCUAUUUUAUAUAAUGCUUAGUAAUUAACUUCCUAUAAUUGAAAAUUAAGCCUCAAAAUUCUAUUUUGUUCGUCUUAACCUUUUAUUCAAUACUCAUUUCCUUCUUUGUGAACAAUUGAUUUUGAUCUAUUCAAAUUGACAUCUUGGGUUAGUAAAAAAAUUGAAACUUGAAAGAUGUACUCACGUAUUCGUUUUCGAAAUUUGGAAUUUUUUUAGCCGAAAUAUCUCAAUGUCCUAUAUUUUAGAAAAUAAAAGAUCCGACACUUAAGAUGCAUAACCGUACCCAAGUCCAAACAUCAUAGGUAACUUGAAUCUACGAAAUUCAUCGUUUUAGAUGAUAAGCCAGGGAAUUAAGUUUUAUGCUAAGAUGUACGGAUUGAAAUGUAGUUUGUGACAUUUUUACAGAUUUACAUUAAUAUCUCCUAUAAAGGAGGAUAGAGAACAGCACCAUAAAUUUAAUGCUCCAUAAACUUAAUGCUGCCAACAAUUUUUUCUUUCCGUUAUGAACUAAACAUAGAUAGAGCGUAUAUUUUGACACACAAAGUUCUCUUAUUGCCGCUGACUUCAACAUUUCAGUCGCUUAAUUUUUAGACCCAAAGUUGCUUAGCAGCUUAAGUUUUUGGUAACUUGGCGCUGAAAAUUUCAUAUAUUUACCAUUUGAUAAAUUAUAUAAAUGAAGAAAAGAUAAGUUGGUUCGUUUUGGCUAAUGUAACUCGACAAGUGAAAUGUCAAUGGUGACAACUAAGCUACAGCUAAUCAUUUAUCUUGAUCAGAAGGGAAAAGUUAUAUAAUUGUAAAGCAUUGUUGAAAGGUGUUACAGUUGUAUUAGGUUGGCUAUGCCAAAAUUUCUUUAUUUGUCUAAAACUCAAAUAAAGUUGGUAAUGUCAUGGUACUUUGAUUAAAUUGAUUAUACAUUUUGUCAAAACUGACUUCUACAAGUAAAUAAAUCCGAAUUUUGAUGUCAAGUCUCAAUUUAGCGGCAAAUUUAUACUUAUCGAUCAUUUUAUCAUAACAUUUUAUAUUGUUUUAUAAAGUUGUUAGGAGGUAAAUUUAUAUGCAAUUUCUUGUUUCGACCAUAUAUGGAAAAUUUGUCGGGAUUUCCACAUGUGGAUUAUUACAAUUUAUCUUCCUUACACUUUAGUUUUAGUCAUAUAGUAUAGAUAAAUUUUUAAAGCCAGUUGUAAAGCCAGAUGGGUGAUUGCAAAUGCUAAAUGAAGCCAGUAAAUUAAAUGCCACCAUUAUAUUUAAUGUAUCUCAUUUAGUACAUAUUUUUCACACCAUUGAAAAUUUUCAAUUAGUUCUUAUGGUGUGAAAUAAUUAAAUGAUUAGAAACCUUAUUAACUUGAUCUACUAGUGAAAAUAAACCGUUAGAUGUAAAAUUGUAUUAAUGCAGAAAUUAUAGCAAUAAUGACAUACUGAGAUUUGAAAAUGAUAUAUUUUUUUUUUUCAUAUCUAACACUGUGAAAAGAAAAAGAUCAAUGUCUCCUGUUUAAUAUGUUCUGACAAGUGUCUUUUGAUUUAUUGGCAGUCAUUUGCUGAGGGUGACAAAGGCUCAUCAGCAUUUCAUGGAAAUAUUUGGAUUCAAGUUGGUACCAAUCCAUGUGAUGGGAUUGAUAUAAUUUGGUUGGAAGUUGUAAUUAGCGUGAUGAUACCAUGAAUUAAUAACUCAGAGACGUGACCCUCGUAAUCAGUGUGGUGACACAUUGAAUUAAUAGCUCAAAAUCGUGACCCUCAGAAUUUUGAAGUAUUUGAUUGGGUCCUGGACUAUGGCCCACUGCUAUUGUGAGUGGAUGAUAUCUGGAGGAAUGAAGGUGGUAAUUACCGAUCUUAUAUUUUUGAGAAUGGUAGCCUGUAAAGUCAAAAUCAAUGAGAUGGUGCUGAAUAUAUUUUGAUUUAAAGUCAAAAUCAGUGUAAUGACACCAUGAAUUGAAAGCUCGAAGUUGUGACCCUGAAAAUUUUAUAACAUUUGAUUUGGUCCUGGUCUUGGCCUACUUCAUUUGCCAAUCAUUGUUUGGCCAGACUCCCAGAAACACGACCAGAAAUGAGCGAGGUUUUAGAAAUGGUGAAUCAAGUUGUGGAGGCAUCAAUAGGGACAGGCGAUCCUCAACCACCUCUAAGGAGUACUGCGUCGAUGGCAAGUUUUGAGGAAACCGAAGCUGCUAAAGGCAAAAGGAGAUUCAUGGAUGUGAAAAUUAGAGAUACUGGUUGCUUGGUUCAUAAGUGGUCAACAAAGCUUGUAAAGACCGCCUGAUUUUCACUGUUUUCUAGAUAUAUACGAGAUUGUUAGUAGAGAGAUUGUAAUGGAUGUCACAGAGCCAAGAAAAACUUGUCCUAUUAUUAUCUAUAAACGUUACAAAAUCUGGAUUGUUAGAAAUGACGACUGUGUUUAUGUGAAUUUAGAUUUUAAUGAAAUUUUUGUUCGGUAUCAA